rnacentral:rRNA from 2 species
AUGCAGUCGAGCGCCCCGCACGGGGAGCGGGGACGGGUGAGUAACGCGUGGGAACGUACCUUUUGCUACGGAAUAACUCAGGGAAACUUGUGCUAAUACCGUAUGUGCCCUUCGGGGGAAAGAUUUAUCGGCAAAGGAUCGGCCCGCGUUGGAUUAGCUAGUUGGUGAGGUAAAGGCUCACCAAGGCGACGAUCCAUAGCUGGUCUGAGAGGAUGAUCAGCCACACUGGGACUGAGACACGGCCCAGACUCCUACGGGAGGCAGCAGUGGGGAAUAUUGGACAAUGGGCGCAAGCCUGAUCCAGCCAUGCCGCGUGAGUGAUGAAGGCCCUAGGGUUGUAAAGCUCUUUCACCGGUGAAGAUAAUGACGGUAACCGGAGAAGAAGCCCCGGCUAACUUCGUGCCAGCAGCCGCGGUAAUACGAAGGGGGCUAGCGUUGUUCGGAUUUACUGGGCGUAAAGCGCACGUAGGCGGACUUUUAAGUCAGGGGUGAAAUCCCGGGGCUCAACCCCGGAACUGCCUUUGAUACUGGAAGUCUUGAGUAUGGUAGAGGUGAGUGGAAUUCCGAGUGUGAGGUGAAAUUCGUAG